GGGGAUAUGGUGGAACUGGUAGACGCACUGGACUCAAAAUCCAGAGAGCUUUGCUCGUGAGGGUUCAAGUCCCUCUAUCCCUACCA
rnacentral:tRNA from 1 species